GCAAGACUAAGGAAAGAUUGGAUAUAUUGAGCGCAUUGAUGGCCGCAAGCAAAAGCAACGGCAAAAUAUGAGUGUUUUUUUUCAGUGAGAGUGAGAGUGAUGGAUGGUCAAUAAUGACGGCAAGGAGUAUUUGGCGAAAAAUAGUGAGUGUAAAGUGAAAAGUGAGUGAAGUGAUGGAUGGUCAAGUAUUAUGGCAAGGGGCACAUGACGAAAAAUAGUGAGUGAUAGUGAUAAAGUGAGAUCAAUUGCGAGUCAGAACAACAAUAAAAUGUACCGCAUGAUUAAAGAAAGAGCGGAAAUUAUUGAGCGCAUUGAUGGCCGCAAGCAAAAGCAACGGCGAAAUAUGAGUGCUUUUUUUUAAGGGAGAGUGAGAGUGAGUGAAUGUUGGUCAAUAAUGACGGCAAGGAGUAUCUGGCGAAAAACAGUGAGUGUAAAGUGAAAAGUGAGUGGAGUGAAGGAUGGUCAAGUAUGACGGCAAGGAGCACAUGGCCUAAAAUAGUGAGUGUAAAGUAAGUGAUAGUGAUAAAGUGAGAUCAAAUGCGAUUGAGAACAACGAUAAAAUGUACCGCAUGACUAAAGAAAGAGCGGAUAUAUUGAGCGCAUUGAUGGCCGCAAGCCAAAGUAACGGCAAAAUAUGAGUGUUUUUUUUCAGUGAGAGUGAGAGUGAGAGGGAUGAUCAAUUAUGACGGCAAAAUGCACAUGGCGAAAAGUAGUGGGUGUAAAGUGUAAAGUGAAAAGUGAGUGAUAGUGAUAAAGUGAGAUCAAAUGCGAGUGAGAACAACAAUAAAAUGUACCGCAUGACUAAAGAAAGAGCGGAAAUAUUGAGUGCAUUGAUGGCAGCAAGCAAAAGCAACGGCGAAAUAUGAGUGAUUUUUUUUCAGUGAGAGUGAGAGUGAGUAAGGAUGGUCAAUAAUGACGGCAAGGAGUAUCUGGCGAAAAAUAGUGAGUGUAAAGUGAAAAGUGAGUGAAGUGAAGGAUGGUCAAGUAUGAUGACAAGGAGCAUAUGGCACAAGUGAAAAGUGAGUGAUAGUGAUAAAGUGAGAUCCAAUGCAAGUGAGAACAACAAUUAAAUGUACCGCAUGACUAAAGAAAGAGCGGAUAUACUGAGCGCAUUGAUGGCUGCAAGCCAAAGCAACGGCAAAUUAUGAGUGUUUUUUUUUCAGUGAGAGUGAGAGGGAUGGUUGGUCCAUAAUGACGGCAAGAGGUACCUGGCGAAAAAUAAUGAGUGUAAAGUGUAAAGUGAAAAGUGAGUGAAGUGAAGGAUGGUCAAGUAAGACGGCAAGGAGCACACGGCAAAAAAGUGAGUGUAAAGUGAAA
rnacentral:lncRNA from 1 species